ACUCAAAUGAAUAGACGGGGGCCCGCACAAGCAGUGGAGCAUGUGGUUUAAUUCGAAGCAACGCGAAGAACCUUACCAGGUCUUGACAUCCCAUUGACCGACCUAGAGAUAGGUAAUCCCUUCGGGGCAAUGGAGACAGGUGGUGCAUGGUUGUCGUCAGCUCGUGUCGUGAGAUGUUGGGUUAAGUCCCGCAACGAGCGCAACCCUUGAGAUUAGUUGCCAGCAUUAAGUUGGGCACUCUAAUCUGACUGCCGGUGACAAACCGGAGGAAGGUGGGGAUGACGUCAAAUCAUCAUGCCCCUUAUGACCUGGGCUACACACGUGCUACAAUGGCUGGUACAGAGGGCAGCGAGACCGCGAGGUGGAGCGAAUCCCUUAAAGCCAGUCUCAGUUCGGAUCGUAGGCUGCAACUCGCCUACGUGAAGUCGGAAUUGCUAGUAAUCGCGGAUCAGCAUGCCGCGGUGAAUACGUUCCCGGGCCUUGUACACACCGCCCGU
rnacentral:rRNA from 1 species